AAGCGUAAUAGCUCACUGGUCGAGUCGGCCUGCGCGGAAGAUGUAACGGGGCUAAACCAUGCACCGAAGCUGCGGCAGCGAACGUAUCACUUAAAGCGAUUCAGCGGGUUACGAUUGACGGAGCGAAGCGACGUCAAAGCGUAUACAAAGUCGAGUCGGUUUAAGGAUACGUUCGUUGGGUAGGGGAGCGUUCUGUAAGCCUGCGAAGGUGGCCUGUGAGGGUUGCUGGAGGUAUCAGAAGUGCGAAUGCU
rnacentral:rRNA from 1 species